UACAACAUAUUUUGAUUAAAGCUGUUUGUUUAUGUAAAUUCCGGAUUCAUGUUGGCAGUGGACUAACUUAGGGAAUUAGAAAAUGUUAUAUAAAUUGUACGGUAAAAACUUCCAUCAUUGAUCAUCACAACAUAGGCAGUACUGACGGACAGCCAAAAUUUCUCUUGAGUUGUCCUCCUAAAAUAGUUUAUUAGUUCUCUCCCUUUUCAAAUCCUGUUAAAAAUGGCCACUGGUGCAUGACUGUCUCCUCAUCUGCUUGGCAGCUUAACCUUCAUUAUAAACCAAGUGUUAGGACCUUUCCUCAGUUCAGACAUUAGAUAAAGGAAUCUCAUCAUAUAAGCAACUCUCGUUUCAACAUACAUUACAUGAUAAUUUACCCUGUAGUCUGCACUGAGAAUAUGGUGGUAGUAGUUGUACUACCUAGUCUAUUGUACUGUAUUAUGGAGUGUACUAGUUGCUGUGGAAUGACAAUUUGCAUACAUUCAUUAUAAGCAGAUUACAUAACUGGAUGUACCAGUAUAUGAGGGGCACAGGCAUGCCAAAUGCAGCCACACACUUUCAAUGUGAUGCUGCUCUGCACAACCCUGAAAUACCACAAGCUGGUAUGUCUUAAACUUUUGCUUAUUUAUUUUUUCUUCAAAAAUGUUCCAACAAAAAAUAUAGCUAUUGAUCGUGAUUUUCUGCAGGGAAAAAAAAAACGGACCCAUUUAAGGUGUGGAAAUAUAAGAUUGGACCAGUUAGGGAACUAAUGGUAAAAUAGGCCCAACCGCUGAUUUCCGUGUCUUAUGGACUAGUUUACCCUUCGACUGAUGCAAAGACUUGUUUGCAUAUCAUAAACAUAUAAACAUACUUAUUUAUAUCAGUCACAAUACAAAUAUAAAAUGCAAAGACUUGUUUGCAUACUUACAAACAACAACAUAAACCAUAAACAUUAAAUGCAAAGAAUUGUUUGCAUACUCGAAACGACAACAAGAUAAACUAGAAAAUGUAAAGACUUGUUUGCAUUAGUCACAACACAUAAAGAUUAAAUGCAAAAACUUGUUUGCAUACUCGAAACAAUGACAUACCAUAAAAAUGCAAACAUUUGUUUGCAUAAACCAGAAGGGUAUUAUCGGUAGUGAAAGAGCCGUUUUUACAAUAUCAACGUUAAAUGGGUCUUUUCUUAUUUUACAAAUGCUUAAUGAGGGCCAAUAUUAUAAACCGGGCCUUAGUUGGGCCAAUUGUGUUUUAUAGGUGCUUAAUGAGGGCCUAGAACCACUUCCGUGGAUUUUCUGUGAAACAACAUGAUUCAACCUGAACAUACUACAACCGGGGAUACAGGAUCCUGACCUGGACCAUGCACAUAGAGAGCAUCCCCAUGUGGGCAUGCCCUUUCAGCACAGACUUUACCCUGAGAACAUAAAUCAGCAACAACGUGCGGUGGUACAGCAACAUCAGAAGCAGAAUAUACUAUAUUUUUGAGUCAUAGUAUAAACGAAAUUUUUAUUUACACAUUGUUGAAAAGGACUUACUAGCUAUUAUAUGCUAAAUAGGCACCCCCAACAUAAAAACAUAAAAGUUUUACAUGUCAUGAAACUAUUAUCAACAACAGCUUACAAACUGGAUAUCAUAUAUCCUUACCUUGUGUCAAUUGUCUACUAAUAUCAUCCCAACAACUCCUAGUCAGCAGGAUGACAUGACUUUCGUUGUUAUAGUUCAUUCUCUGGAAAGAAGCUGUAAAUCAGAAAAGAUAAUGUCUUUUGGUAAAUGGGUAAAUAUUAAAAAAAGAAAAAUCAUGGUUUGAGUCGAAGAUAGAAUCCAAAUGUUUGUAAAAACAAAAAGGUCUAAGCUGAGAUAGAGGAUUCAACACCCUCUUGUAUUUAAUCGAAGGACAUAGGAGAAAAGAUGGAGUAAAACAAGCUCUGCAAUAUAAUUCUGAAGCGACACAUAUGUAACAAGUGAAUGUCAUACAAUAAUCACCGGAAUGUCCACUUAGCUUGCAACAAGUGAAUUGUUAUACGACCAGUCAGUAGAAUAACUAACUAAUUAAGAUGCUAUAUUGAGUAAAUAUUACAAAUACAGAAAACUUUUUCAUAAAAAAACUAAUUGUUAUGUGAAGAUAGGGAGGCUGAUAUAUAAAAUAUAAACAAUUAACUUGUAAUACUACGACAGAAAUGGAUUAAAUCUGAGCUGCAAAUUUAAUCAAUGAAACGAACAAAAUACAUCUAGAAAUUUAUUAGUGCUUAGCAAAUCCAUUCCAGAUUCGCUAGACAAGUACACAUCAUAUAUGUUUUAUCAAUAUUUUAAACAGAAGUCGCAUAUGCUGAUACGCGUACUCAUGGAAAUAAAAGACCAGGUUCAUGGUGGUGCCAUUUCCAAACCUCGGAAACAAAUAUAAAAGCAAACACUAAACAAGCAAAAAAAAAAGAAGACAGUUUGGGAGAUUAUAACUGGAAUAAAAAAAAAUGGCAAAGAUCAUGACAGCAAAAAGACCCAAGCUGUAGCCUAAAGUGUAAAGACCAAUAUAAGUAUACAACCACAAAGAUCACAUUUUGUUUUAUGAAGUUAUGAUCAAUAACAAUUUGUAAUAUACAGUAUAGUGUAUACAAAAAGGAGAAGGGUAUUAUGAAAUCAGUGACUGAAGCAGUAAGCAAUUACUACAUUGUUUUGAGCACGGUUUAGAGGCAAUAAUGUAUGUGGAUUGACCAAAACAAUCUAAUUUUGAGCAUAACUUGUUUCUUUUGAUGUGCUGAACAACUAAAUGUACUGUUGAUGUUCUACAAAAGUCAAAUUAGAUAACAGGGUAUUGGGAAUAUUGUCUGCAUAUGGUUUAUUAGAACUUUUUAUAAACAUGAUGGAUGAUUUAACUUGAUUUGAAAGCCUUAUUAAUCAUCACUCAGAUAUAUUGCUUCAUGGAUCUAACUGACAUGUUGUUUUGUUCCACAACUUUUUAUGGAGUUACAAACAUUAGAAUCUACAAUAUCGCAUUGUCAAAUGGCACAACAAACAAGAAAAAUAACUCAAUGAUGAAUAAAAAUCAAACCUUUAUAACAAUUUCACUUCAUCUGAUCUCUUUUACUAUUAAUUUUCUUAUAUAUAUAUAUAUAUAUAUAUAUAUAUUGAAACAUUGGAAUUUUUUCAGACUGAUAUAGUUAAAUCGAUACAUAAUAAGCAGACAAAACUAACCAAAUAUGAAGAUUUAUUUCAAUCUAAAACGAAAUGUUUGAAAGCUUCACCUUUUCGAGACUUUUUGUGGUUUUGUUUUAGUCAAGAGUUGAAGACGAAGAGAGAGAGAGAGAUCUGAGCUUACUUGUUUUGGGUUCAUUGAUCUCACUAAUUAAUCUGAUGACUAGGAUAAUUUUUGAAACGAUUAAGGAAACGGAAAAAAUUACUUAUUACUAGGGUUUGGUAAAACUAUUUAUUUGACAAAAACUAUGGACCAGUCAACGUACUUAUCAGUACAUGGCCAUGCUCAGUGCAUAAGUGUCACAUGUUUUCUAAUUGUGUUACCAAUACUACCCCUCUCACUAAACAAUUCCAUAGAACAAAAUUGGUAAUUAUCCCUUAAGGAGAGCCAGCCGCAGGGCUUGACUGCUUGAGCCACCCAACUCAAAGUGUUCAAAGUGAAAAUACGGCUGCACAAAACUACAUCAAAUACAAAUAUAGAAAAUAGCUAAUUAGUAAUUGAUCCAAACUUUAUUAUUUAUUAGUAAAUGGUCCCAAAAUCUGUUAGUCAACACGAUUUACUCAAGUCAAACCAUCCAUAAAUUUUUAAUGUCGAAAUUUCCCUUUCAAAAAGUGAAAUUUUAAAAAUUGAAUUUUAGGUGUUUUUUUUUUUUUGGUGUGUUUUAGAUCUUAGAAAUCAAUGGCGGCUUCAUCAUCAAGAAGAAAUCUGGAUUGAAUUAAAGGACCAUGGAAUCCAAAAGAAGAUGCUUUGGCACAAAUGCUUGUUAAAAUUCAAAAUAGAUUUGUUGUUGAUUUCAAAAUCAAUUCGAAGUAGAUCUGGUGUAAGGACCCUUCUCCACAAACGAUGUCAUCUUCUUCUACUUCUUCAACUUCAAUGAAUAACUCCUCUAUGAUGAUGAUAAAUAACGAAGACAAAGAUAAGCAAGUGUUGGAACAACGAUUCUGAUGAGUUCAUCUUCUGGAUCGGAUUGGAUUUAAGUGAUUCAAGUAUUCCUUCACGGCUUCACUUGUUAUUUAUCAACUUGUUGCUAAACUUGUUAUCAACUAUCACAAGAAUACAAGCAUAGCUGUUGCUGGUAUUAUUUGUAGGAAUUCAGAUGCGACAUUAAAGCAUGUGCAUACUAGAAAUUCAUGGCAAGAACAAUAGAGAAGACAAAAACAUGUGUGGCAGAGAUAGGAGUACAAAUAAUAUGUUAUGAAUCUUGGCAAAAAUUUAAGUGGUGUGAUAUACUUUGUAAUAAGGAAUAAUUAAGUGUAGCCCCAAUUAUUCUAAACCACCAUCUGAUCAACAACAACAACCAAUGCAAUAGGUUUCUCCUUGAUUAUCGUAUAUUACACAUGGUAAUUAAUUUUAUGUAUUUAAGUUAAGUUAUCACGUGUUGGACAUGGAAUGGGUAGUUGUCACGACCCGAAUUUAAAAAAAUAAAAUAAACCCAGGCCGCAACAAUUUCUAACUCAUAAACCAGGUACAACAAAAUAACUUACGCCAACAAAAUACAUGUAUACCACUUUCAAAUAAAAUACAUCCUUUAAACAUCUAAAGAUCUCUACCGGUCCUAACAAGCGGUCUGUCACAGCUCCAUAGCUCUAACCUCUCCUGCCUGCAUUCCAAAUGGAACACACCCACGUACAAAACAAGCAACAUGGGUCAGCAUAAAAGCUGGUAUGAGUAAACAAGGGGGAAAUCUAUUCCCACAAAAUAACAUAAUAAAUAUAAAGUUCCAACAUAUGAUUAACAACAUAAUUAACCUUAACGAGCCAUUCUUCCAUGCUAAGACAUUAAGCAUACGCCAAAAACCAUAUCAAUUCCAUUAUAUUUAAACUCUUUAUCCAUUAUAUAAUCACCUGUUUAAUUCCAUUAUUCAAUUGUAAUUUAUCUAUUUACGAUGUUAAUUGAUCAAUAAUAUAAAUACAUUACCUAAGCAGCAACUGUCUUUAAGGAUAGGUUUAUCCACCUGCACAAAAUAAAUUAGUCGACCUAUCCACCUGCAAAAUAGAGUUAAUACAUAAUAGACAAAUAUAAUAAAGCUCAGCCAAAUCACAUACACGCUACGUGUUAUCUAAUACUUUGUAUCAACUUGAAAUAUACAUUCUGUUUACUCAAACCAUUAAUAAUGACUCAUUCCAACUCUGCAUAGUUUGCAAUCUACCAAAAUGACAGGUCCAAUUAUGACUAUUAAUUCCCAUAAUAAAUAAAACAUCGCAGUUCUUCCAUAUAAUCAUAAUUACCUCCGGUUCAUAAUCAAAAUAUAUAAAAUUUACCUAUAUCAUUAAUUAACACCAAACACUACAAUACCAUGAGCCUUAGCACACUACCAAACAACGAAUCAAAAGCCACAAAACCACGUCCUGGCUUCUAGCCGGUGCUCGGGUUUAACAAUCACAAAAAAAAUCACAACAUAUGCCCAAUCACUAGUACACCUCCCACAGGAUGCACUCCACACAUUUGCCAUACCCACACUGCACCAGUGUGCCUUGACCAUGGUUAAAAACCUCUACGCGGAAACCAAAACCCAAGUGGGUGCUCACCUGCAAGCUUUGGCUAGCCUCGACGUAUGCCUAACUCAUGAUCUCUAAUAGCUCCGUUGAGCUUUCUAAUGUGGCGCCCAGACCAACCCCGAAGGCUAUGAUGGUCUGAAGGGUUAGUUCCGCAGGCUAAGCCGUCUAGGAAAUACCCAAAUAUAAUCCAAGAGUCAACCCGCAGGCUAAGCCGUCUAGGGUGAUAAUUAAUUUCUUUAACCUAAUUCCAGAGGUGCGGCAAAUGUACUAAUGCUUGGGCGACUACCAAAACAACUAAACUAAUCAACCAAUCACACAACCAUUUUCAAACAAUUAAAUUCCCAGUCCAUUUCGUAUUCCUUUCUUAUUUUUUCAAAUUGUAUAUAUACCGUCCAUGGUAUCAAGCCAUUCCAAGGCAUUUACUAAUAAAUUCUUCCAUUUCAAAAAUACCCCUCUAAUAAAUAUAGUUCUAAUAGCCAUUACAAUCAUUAAUAUGCAUAACCAAAAAAAAUUAAUAUCCACGUUCACUACAAGUCCAUUAAACAUGUUCCGUAUACUGUCAAUACUGUCAAGUUCAUAUCAAAAUUAGGACACGAAAUCAAUAAUUUCCUAUGUGUCCUGAUAUAUAUAUACCCCAUACAGUAAGAAAAGAAAGGUCUGCAAGUCGGCAAAGUUAACUAUACUGUUAUAGGAAAAUAUCAAAUUUUCGAAACCCAUAUCAUGGCAAAAUGGUGUAUACUGUACUAAAAAUUCAUCACAACAUAGAAGUCCAAUCCUUACUAUAGUACUUAUAUAACAGUGUAUGGAUAUCAACAAAAACAAAAAAUAAAAAUAUACAUAUAUACUAUUCCAAUAACUCGGCAACACCUCGCAAUCAGUAAUCAAAUAUAAUCCAUGUUUCAGGAAUUUCAACUUAUAAAGCUCAGCUACAUUAAUCUGAUUAACAUGAUAGAUAUAGGGAAUGAAUUUGACCACCAAUAUAGAUAGAAAAACAAAAUUAUUUUAUAUACAAUUCACCAUCAUCAUGUAAAGAUGUAAUAUGUAUAGAAGUCUAAACCAACAGCAAACAUACUCUCAUAUACCCCACCACUAAGAUCAUAAUCAUAUAGUUUAAUCAACUUAAAGUAAUUUAACAAAAUAAAUCCACUCACCGUUACUGCUGCUCUUCUUCUUCUACUGGUCUGCAACUCGCAGAAAACACCGACACCACCCCACAGUCAUUGUUUCUUGUUCUUCUCCCUACUUCUAAACUCUGCAACUCCGGUUUCCCGCAACUGCAACUCCAACUUUCAGCAACUCUAACCGCAGUGCCGCCCUCUCUCUCUCUCUCUCUCUCUCUCUCUCUCUCUCUCUCUCUCUCUCUCUCUCUCUCUUUGCAAAAACCUUCUAAUCAGAUAUAUAACUAAUAAUCUAACCUAAGAUGGUUCAUCCAACGAACCUGAUCGAUUUGAGAUUGUGAUCCCAUUGUGAUCGUGAUUCUGAACUUCAAGCAAACCAGAUCCGUUCGUGGGUUGUUUUCUUCAAGUUUUGGUUUAUUAAACCAUAGUCCCUCCAAUUUAUACUAAUUAUUAAUAAACCCUUGACCCAGGGACUUAUACUUAAUUAUUUUAUAACUUCAAAUUAAAUUUAAAUAAGCAUUAAAAAUGGUGUUUUACAGUAGUCUAGACACUAAGAAAAUAUAGAUGCUUUAACUUGAAUCAACGAUGUUGAUUGACAGUCAAAUAACGAUUUUUGGACUAUUUGCUAAUAAACAAUAAAAUCUGGAUCAUGUGCUAAUUACCAAUUUUUUAGGGGGACCAAAUACAAAAUAACCCAAAUAAAUAUGCAUGGAAGGCAUUCAAAACUUCUUAAUUAAUAAUGGAAUUGUGUAAGAUUAAGUGUCAUAAAAUUAAAAAAUUCCUUAUUAAAAAAACAUAGUGAGAAUUCAUAUUCUUUGUUGCAAUUUGCAAAUCAACAUUGUGGAUAUGUUUAUGGUUUCUGUAAGUCUGCUCUGCAGCUUACACCAUGAAAUUUGUGAAGACUGGAUGCUCACCUAGUUCUUCCUCCUAAUCGCUGCAAAACACACCGGUGUUGAUGCCGGCAUUAGCACUCCAACGGUUAAGUUAGUAUUGAGUAAGAAGAAGAAGAAGACUUAAUGUAACAGUGUAGUAUAAGUGAAAAAACAUACCUUAACCUUUGGGUUUUUACUAAUUUAUAGAGUGUAGAUGCUUGCUCUCAUGUCCGUCAAAUCAGGUUUAGAUCCAACGAUGCUUGUAAGGCUACGUGUAACCUUCCUAGCCUUAGGUUUAGUCUUAGCUAUAUUCCAUGACGGACCACGUGGAAGUCACGUGAUCCGUACACUUUGUCUCUUCUGGUCUAUCUGGUACGCCUAAUCUUAGGUUAAUAUCUAUGACUCUUGGUACGAUGAGCACCAAGUGUAGUCCGGCAUAAUGAUGCACUUACAGUUUCUAAUUAAUUUAAUUUUUGUUAUAGAAUACAAAAAAUUUAAACAAUUUGAAUCUCAAUUAAGAUUUAAAUCAAAGAAUUCUAAUCCAAUGUUUUUCACAACUAUUUUGAGAAAAAUCUAUAUGAGUUCUAGUUGUAAUUAAUUUAUAAUAUAAAUUCUCUAAGUAUUAAUUUGUGUAUUUUUUUAGCACUAGUGUUGAUGUUUUUUUUUUCUUCUAUUCUUUUUUUUUAUUAUUAUUAAAAUUUGGGUUGCUCUUAGUAUAUUAAUGCACUUAGGUGUGAUUAAUUUUUUGUGGCCUGCCUUUAAGAUGUUGGAUAGCUCUUUGUAAAACAAUGGGUGUCAAUCUGAUUUUCCUAAAAGUAUCGACCUUUAAGUCUAUAACUAAGUUGACUGAUAAAAUGGGACUUAAAAAAUGGUUUAGUUACAAGUUGCAACGAGACAAUGGGAAAAUAGUGAUAACCCAUUUAUUUUGUAGUGGACUAGUUAUGAAUAGCUUCAGUUUCUACUGAUGUUUUUGAUUUGGAUGAACUUGGGGUUGAACUAACAAAUAAUGGAAACAAUGGAAAGAAUAAUGGAAGACCCAUUAGCUUAUAACAACAACUGGAAAUUAUCAGUUCGUCACUCAAUUACAAUUGAAGUCCUUCCAUUCUUUUUCAUUAAUUUUAUAAAAUAAAUCAAGAUUCAAGCUUUCUUCAACUAUUUCUUUAUCCGUUUCAACUGAAUCCAAAAUCUCAUUUUCACUAGAGGUUGAAACACGAGGGGAUGACGAGAAAUUUUAUUGGUUUUCACUUUUCACAUUGGUAUCCAAUAGCAGUUGUGUGUAAUAUGAGAAAAUUAGACUUAACCCCCCCUAUUUUGUCCACAUUUUGAAUAAACCCCCCAUAUGUCCAAAUUUUGACUUUACCCCCUCUCCGCCAACUCCCGUCUAAGUUAACACCUAUUUACAUUUUUUCUUCCUAAAAUACCCCUCCCUUGUUUUUUUGAGGGGUUAAGUCUAAGAAGAAAGUGGGGGGUAUUUUAAAAAGAAAAAAAUGCAAAUAGGUGUUAACUUGGAUGAAAACUGACUGAAGGGAGGUAAAGUCCAAACUUGGACAAAUAGGGGGUUUUAGUCAAAACGUGGACUAAAUAGGGGGGUUAAAUCAAAAUUUCCCGUGUAAUAUAGAUAAGAGAGUUCAUCAUGCUAGAAGAAAUAUAUGUCUUGAUAUUUUGGUAACGGUGGUGAACUGGUGAUUUAAAAAAAAAUCCAUUGUUGAUUUUACCUUACUUGCCAUCAUUUUUAAAAGGGAUAAAGUUUUUGUGUUUUGUUGAUAGAGUUGUUGUUUGAGGUUGAAAAAAAGAAAUAACAGGGAGAAACAGAGGAGAGUGGAGGAGGAGGAAGAAGAAAGAAUAUAAAUAAAGGCGAAGAAGAAAUAGUUGGAGGGGUAGUAUAGGUAGAGUAAUAUGCCACCUAUGCACUGAGGACGAGCCAAUGUACUGGCCAGUCAUAAUUUACCAGUCAAAAUAGUGACUAGUCCAUAUUUUUAUUGAAAGUAGUUUUUGGGCAAUAAGUUUUCCAAACCGUAGUUAUAGGUAAUUUUUCGUAUUAAAAGAGCAAAACUGGAAUUUCAUAAAAAUAUAUUGUACUCAAUCAUUAUGGCUUAUGUGGCUUAUAUGUCUCCUAUAUUAUUGAAAACUAGAGUGUUAGCCACUGGUUAAUUUUAAUUUAUCAGUAUAUGGUUAUUAUUGGAGUUUUCAGUUAAUAAUUAUAGGCCCUAAUUAUACUCGUACGCCAGUAAAAAUUAUAAAUUAGAAUAAUUUAUUAAAUUUUAUGAAACAAAUUUGGGUAAUUUUUUUAAUAUUUAUUUUAUAGGAUUUUACUGUUAAAAAUUAUUAGUUCUCAUAAUAUUUUGUUAAUUUGAAUAUCUAUUUAAUAUUGGGCCUCUUGCUCAUAAAUAAAAAUUUUAGCCCAUAAAUAAUAAUAUAUUAAAUUAUGAUAAAACUAUUACUUAAAAAGUAUUAUGUUAAUUUACCAAAAAACCAUGAUUAAAAAGGUAUUAUAGUCAGAUUUAUGUCAUAAGACUGGGGAAUACCUUUGAAAACUUUAUAAUAGUAAAAUAGAUAGAUUGUCAAUUUGCAAUGAGAUUUUAGCAUAGUGCACUGUAUGACCUAUCAAUUGAUUCAAUUCCAUCCAUGCAUUUAUGGUACAGAUUUUGUUGAGCAACGUAUCACUUGCUAAUGUCAAUGUCAACUUGGUCCUAUUCUUGGAAAUUUUAUGAACAUGUGCUUGAAUGUUUUUCUGAAAAUAGUUCUAGGAUCUCAUUAAGUCAAUGCAUAAAACACAAAUGGCCCAAUUAAGGCUCGAUUUAUAAUAUUGGCUCUGAUUAAGCAUUUAUUUAAUAAGAAAGUACAUAUUUAAUGUUGAAAUUAUAAAAACGACCCUUUUACUAUUGAUAAUACCCUUCUAGUUUAUGCAAACAAUUUUUUGUAUUUUAUGGUUUGUGGGGUUGUUGUUGCAAGUAUACAAACAAGUCUUUGCAUUUUAUAUUUACGUGUGAUGUGACCGAUGCAAAUAGAUGUUUACAUUUUUAUGUUUUAUGUGGUUGUUGUUGCGAGUAUGCAAAUAACUCUUUGCAUUUAAUGUUAAUUUAUGUGUGGUGACUGAUGCAAACAAGUCUAUUUAUGUGUGUAACUGAUGUAAACAAAUUUUUACAUUUUAAUGGUUGUGACUGAUGCCAACGAGUCUAUUUAUGUACGUGACUAAUGCAAACAAGUCUUUGCAUCAAUAAAAAAAAAAAAAAAAAUCUCCAUCACUAAAUCCAAUUUCAGUUGUUCGUCCAAUCACAAUAAAUCAAGUCUACAAUGAAAAAUCAAAUAGUUCCGAAGCUUUAACAAAGGUUUGCCUGUACACACUUACAGAGAAGUGGUGUAAACAAAAGGCAACUGAUACAAAUUUAAACUCAAAUAGCUAGUACUUGUUUGCGCUUCUCUUCCACCAUAAUCUCUGUUCAACAAACACAAUGGGGUUCCACCUUUCUCUUCUCUAUUUAUUCUCACAAAUCCAUACAGAAAUCAAUUUUCUUAACAAUUCAAUGAAGAAGAUGACGAAUAUGGAAGCAUUAGAAUUGAUAGAAGGAAUUAUUGGAAUUUCAAUCAACCUCAUCGACUCACAUUCGAAUUAAAAAUUCUUCUUUAUAAUCCUCUUUGAUGUAAAACCAAAACUUAUAAUUCAAUUAUAAACUGUCAUCCGUAAUUUUAUUGCUAAAAACUUGGAUCUGUAGUUUUUGUUAUUAUGUGAAGGGGGGAGGGGGAGAGAGUAUGGUUGAUGAGGAGAGAAGAAAGAAAACGAGGAA
rnacentral:lncRNA from 1 species